rnacentral:rRNA from 1 species
UACGGAGGGGGCUAGCGUUGUUCGGAAUUACUGGGCGUAAAGCGCACGUAGGCGGCUUUGCAAGUUAGAGGUGAAAGCCCGGGGCUCAACUCCGGAAUUGCCUUUAAAACUGCAUCGCUAGAAUUGUGGAGAGGUAAGUGGAAUUCCGAGUGUAGAGGUGAAAUUCGUAGAUAUCGGAAGGAACACCUGUGGCGAAAGCGGCUCACUGGACCAUUACUGACACUGAGGCACGAAAGCGUGGGGAGCAAACAGG